UAUAAGAAGUUGUAGGUAUUCAUAAGGAUAAUGAGACUACUAAUGCAAUGUCUUGACCGGAACAACUCGUUUCAGCGGCGACAAGUUAAUUUUGUUCAAAACUUUUAGCCAUUUCACUUUCGGUUUGAACCUGUGAACGAAGACUGUCACCGAGACCACAUCAAAGUGCGAUAAACUGUGUGGUGAGUGGAUGCGGUUUAAGCUGACGAGAAAGACAACACGUCAUUUCAAACUUCAGUGCGUAUAAUAACUCGCGAACAGAGUUUUGGAUGUAUGGUUGUCGAGAAAAAUUGAUUUUACGUCUCGGUGGUGUGUCCACGGUGGUUGCAACGGAGGUUUCAGAAACAGAAUAUCCGUAGCAGUACGUUAUAUAUCAUUACUUGUGUGUGUAUUCGUCAUGGCGCUCGACGUGCAGCGUUUCGAAUCAACCGGAUGAUCGGCACUUUAUUAUACUUCGGAUAUUUAUACAGUGGAUGCCUAUAUAUAAUGUAUAAUUCUCGAAGUAAAAUAUUUUUCUCGCUGUUUGUUUAUUUUGGCACGUGUGUAUUGUAGCCGCACUGAAAAAUAAUAUAUCCUAUAAAAUUUAAAUAUAUAUAAUAAUAUAUAUGUCAGCUUUUUGAUAAAUAAUAACACGUAAGUCCGUUUUCUAUUUUAUAUCAUUUUUCAGUUUUUUUUUUUCGGAAGCAAGAUGGUGUUUUUUUUUUUUAAAGUCGAAAAUGGCAGUAACUCAAUUUCUCUAAGAAGGUAUUGUAAAUCGAAUAAAAUAUUAAGUACCCAUCAAACCCAGAAAACAAUAACUCGUUUUAAAUGCGUGCAGGACAGUUAUAAAAAUUGAGUAGCCACCUGCCGAUUUGUAACUUGAAAAGUAUUUGAGUCUUCAAGUAUAAUUUUAAAUAUUUUAUCUGUUUUGAAAGUAUUUAAAAUACUCUUUUACUACUGAAUUGAUAAUACUACUUUAUCAAAUAUAUAUAUUUUUUUGAUUCAUUUUAUUUUAAAUUUAAUUAUAUUUGUAAUCCUUAUUGUUAAAUACUUUGCCUUUAAAAUAUCAACUCGCAUUGCAUAUAGGUAUUUAAAAAUGAUAUCAUGUUGUACCAUAUUUAUUUUGAUUAGUAUUUGUUUUCAUAGAUAUCAUAAUUUAUGAGAGGGUAGCGAGACUUGUUAACAAUGGAUUUCAUACUUCAUAUUAUAUCUUGUGUUUAUCAUAAAGUAUGAUUUUUAAUUUUUGAUAUUCCUAUUGUAGUAUUAUUUUGCAUCAAAGAUAAACUGUAUUUAUAUCUUGUUUUAUAAUUAAAAUUAUUGAUAACGUUUUUAAAUUUGAAUAGGUACC